GAGUGUGUAUAUUUUGCUGGUUGCGGGUUGCUGGUUGCGGGCUGCGGGUUGCGGGUUGCUGGUUGCGGGUUGCGGGUUGCGAUGAAUAGUCAGUUGAACAAUAAAGAGAGAAGAAAAUAAAUCACCAAAAUAUUAGUAUAUAUAGAUAAAUAGUGUGAGAAUGUGUAUAAGUUAUUACAAACAAACUUUCUCAAGUAAGGGGGAGGGUUUGGAUCCCGCUAACAUGUUAAACCCUGCCACAUUCUGUAUAUAUAUGCCUGUCCCAAGUCAGGAGCCUGUAAUUCAUUUUUUUUUCAUUUUUUUAUGUUUGCAUAUUUGUUUUUCGUUCAUUUUUUGUACAUAAGUUAGGCCAUAAGUUUCCGUGUUUGAAUUGUUUUACAUUGUUUUGUCAUUUCGGGACCUUUUAAUAGCUGACUAUGCGGUAUGGGCUUUGCUCGAUCAUUGUUGAAGGUCGUACAGUGACCUAUGGUUGUUAAUUUCUGUGUCAUUUGGUCUCUUGUUGAGAGUUGUCUCAUUGGCAUUCAUACCACAUCUUCUUUUUUAUAUUUCAAUGAUUUAUUACUGGUCAUUAUAUCAGAAAAUAAAUACAAAAU
rnacentral:lncRNA from 1 species